UCGCCAUCUUGGACCCGGCUCGUCCCCGUCUAGUGACCGGCGGCGCUGGGCAAGGCUCUGCGCAGGGGGUCGGGAAGCACAAAGAAGUUAAGUAACUUGCCCAGGUUCACACCAAGAUUUGAAGCCAGGUAGUCUUACUGCAGAGCCUAUGUGCUUAGCCAUCUCCAGUGCUGGCCUCAUGCUCAUUCGUUUGCCUGGAUCUUACCAGAUGCAUCCAGAUUCCCUGUCUAUGCCAAGAACAGUGUCUUUCUCAUAACAGGUGUGCAGUAAAUACUGAGUUGGUGCUUGAAGCAGAGAGCACAGUGAGUAAAGUGGUUGUGCAUUUUGUUGUUUUGUGAUGCAACCUGUAUUCAAUACUGUACCAGAUUCACUCUGUAGUUAUGCCGGGGCCCAUUAGGUGCAGUGCAAAGCAUGUGGGUGAAAGGCUUUCCUUUCUAAAAUGAUAUUGGUUGUCCCUAGAGAUCUCUGUCUCUACAUCUUAGAUUAGUUAGUGUGGUUUGGUUAUAGAAAUAUAUAUAGCAAAAAUGACAUAAAGUUGAAAAUAAAUUUAAGAUUAAUCAAAUUGCUGAUGACAUGGUCUGCUGUUUUACAGGUGAGACACUCCUACCUGCUUGAUAUAUUUUUUAAAGAUUUAAAAAAAAAUGUUUAUUUACUUUUGAG